rnacentral:tRNA from 1 species
GCCUGGGUGGCUCAGUCGAUUGAGCAUCCGACUUCGGCUCGGGUCAUGAUCUCACAGCUCGUGAGUUCGAGCCUCACCUCGGGCU